CCAAUGGUAAAAUGCAGAACCAAAAUCAAACUUCAGCUUCAUCCUGUUUGAAGCAAAAUGAAAUCUUACACAGUCAACUGAACCUUGAACAUUGCAGCUACACUUUCCUCGUCUUCCUCUACCAAUAAGAUCUGUUUCUGUAGUAGGUCUUGAAUCAUCUUUAACAGGCCAUACUUGUGUGCCUAAAGAUUUAGAGUCACUCCCAUAAACUAUACCAGUCCAUUGUGGGACUUCCACUUGGAAAAGAGGACCAACAGAAACAUCACGAGAAUCAUCACUAAAUGGGUCGUAUUUUUUCUCUUCAGUCACAGCUGCUUUGGCAGUUGAUAUUUUCUUUUUUGUCACAGCUGCUUUGGAAGUUGAUUUUUUCUUCUUGAUCAUGACGUCUGGUUUGCCAGUUGUUUUCUCCAUAGGACUUUUUUCUGAUUCCAUACCAUGCAACUUAAGAGCGACAGACAGCCUUUUACUACGUCUCAGAUCCUCAUACUUGGCAGGAUUCAUCUUCUCCUUCUGUAAAGCACAACAGAUUCAGAAAAUUCAGUAGAUAUUUUUUGCAUAACACUUGAAUAAAAUUUCUUCUUUUAGAUCUUGUCAACUAGUAGAAGCAUUUCUCAAUGUUUUUGUUAUCAAAGUAAUAAAACCAAAGUGAUUCAUUGAAUAAUCUAUAGUGGCUUUUUACAAACCAGUUUGCCAGACCGUGUCCGUUUCAAGACUUUUUAGUUGGGCCACCCUGUCCAUUUCAAGGUUGCGCCCACAGCAGAACCCAAUUCAUGCGAUUUAGGGGUAUGUUGUGAUUCAUCGCAAUAAAUCAAGAUUCCUGUUGUGAUCGCUGUCCAACAAAGAUACGCACAUCAAUAGUAUUGGUUGGGUUAUUUGCUUCGUUUUUAAUCGAUAUAUAGAUAACCAGGCUCAAUAGUGCAGUUAAAGUUCUUAAUGGAAAUUUCAUAAUGCAGUUACAGGCUCAAUAGUGCUAAUAAAAGGGAAACCUGGUGCACUCAAGCUCCCGCAUAUGCAGGGUUUGGGAAGGGGUCCCACCAUUUGGUGUAUUGUACGCAGCCUUACCCUGUUUUUACACAAGAGGCUGUUUCCAGGACUUGAACCCGUGACCUUUCAGUCAUAUGACAACAACUUUACCAGUUGCGCCAAGGUUACCCCUCUCAAUAGUGCUAAUAAUGAUGGAAUUUAUUUAAUGUUAGUAAUUUUGUAGACUGGGCCAAAGCUAUCCAAUUUCCCGUAAUUUAUGAUUGUAUUAACCCUUGUUGACCUAUAGCAGUUAGCAGCAAGCUGAGAGUUUGGAAUUUUAUAUAUAUUGUUUUAGGAAAGAAACCGGUAGAUUAUGAUUAUAUAUUUAUUAUGAAUGCAGAAUUAAGUACAUUGUAAUGCUAAUCAUAAAUACAAUAAAAACAUAACUAGCCAUUCAUGUGAAAACAUUCUGGUUCAGGAUACAAAACGCACAAAAAAUCCAAUGUGUAAAAUCAUGUAUAAAAUCAUUAUGUGUGGUGAAAAUAUACCUUGGAUGAUGAUCCACGGUUUGGUUCUGCAUGCUUUCUGACCGACAGAACAUCUUGUGCCCUUAGCCUCUGAACAAAAAUGUCCUGGCCUUCUUUAUACUCCUUCCCCUUUGAUGGUUCUGUUAAUGGUUGAGCUAUAGGCGAUUCUAGUUUACGUUUGCGAGAAUUAAAUUCCUUCUCAGUUUCCGCACAAGAGGCGGUUAUAUCAUCCUUAACACCAGUGCCCAAUUUUUCAUCGUAGCCGCCAUUACCAUCACUGUUAACAUUUUGGACACCGUCACAUUUGUUAUUUUGAUUUUUAGUGUCCAAUAAAUAACCAUCACUCUUAUGGUUAACCAAAUCAAUGUGCUUUAUGAUGUUACUCGAUUCUAACGGGACAAAAUCAUCAUCUUUGUCCUUUAGAUUUGAGCAAAAAAAAUUUUGAAACUCUUUUUCUAGAUCUAUUGGCAAUGAGUUCAAAUACCCAUCAUUCCCAUUUUUUAAACUAUUCUCUUCGAGAGAUUUCCUGAGCCAACCUUCGAAAUCAUUCAGAUAUUUGUCAAAAAAUAAUUUCACCGAAGGUAGAACACGAAGGUCCAAACCCAGUUCAACUAUCACAGACUUCCACAACCCUUUUCUUGAUACCGCAUCAUACCCACCUUUUUCCUUCACAAGGGAGAACAAUUGAUAUAAAUCAAGCAAUUGACCCUCACCGAGCAUCACCGGCACAGGCCUCACAUUGCCUCUACUACAAUUCUCCUUUAGGUAAGCCGAAAAAAAUUGACAAAACAAAGAUUUUUGUUUAGCCUUGUCAUUGUCAUGAUCAGCACUAUCAACACGACCCUCGACAAGACAACCGCCAUUUCUAUGAAAUUCAGUAAAUGUUUCAGCUUCAGACCGAUCAAGGGAUGACCCGUUUGCCAUGAACUUUUGACUCUAAUUCUAUACUAAAUAUGUUUUGAAUUUUAUAACAAAAAUAAAGGAGGCAAAAAAAAACCUAGCUUGCCUUUUUGUUUAUGUUGAUCGUACAAACACAGAACAUCACAAAAAUGGCGGUGACAUCAAGGAAAUGAAGGGUUUCCUGGCAGUAUGAAGAGAUAGGUACAAUUAAUCUCAAGAUCAAAGUUGAAACCUGAAAAUUAUUGAUAAUUAAUGGUGGCGGUGAUGGUACUAACUGGUGCUGCUGUAGAAUUUCAAUGCUGCAAAUGAAAAAAAUUAGCUGAAUUUGAGUUUGUAUUCAAAAGGAUAAGAAAUAUGGUGCGAAAAUAAAUGACUAAGGUUGAGAGAUUAUGAGAAUAAAACCCUCCUCUUCUCACAGGGGUAUUUCUCUUACCUUCAUUUCAUUCCCCUUCUUUGAACUCCCUCCCAACAAAAUAUUUUUUGACAUUAAAAAAAAUCAAACACUUGUUGUUGUUCCUUUAUAAUGCUAAAUACUAGGGUUGUUAAUUGGGCGGGCCAGGCCGAUUUAGUCUAGUCCGAUAAAGCCCAAAUCGAUUAUGUCAAGUCAAACCAACAAUAAAAAAUUGACAUGAAUCCACUGCAGUUGAGAAACCAUACACGCUAUGGGUAAUCUCGGCCAUUGAUUUGAGAUCAGACGAUUAAGAUUACCGAUUCAUUAAAGCAUUUACAAAUCAUCUCAUACAUCAAUUUUAAAUCGGACGGUUGAGGUGAGUAAUUGUGUCACGCUGUUACGCACCAAAUCCAUUUCCCAAAUCAAACUUAGGGGGAUGUAUUGGGUCAGAUCUUAAAAUAUAAUUUUGACAUAAAAAUUCUUCUAUAUUUUAAAAGACUAUAAAAAUAUAAUGACUUUCCUUCAAAAAUAAAUAUAUAUAAUGACUUCUAAAUUUUGUAAUUUUUAAGAUGGGAUUUAAAAUUGGUCAAAAAAAAAAGGUGGAAUUUAAUAGAUCGAAAUGGUAAAAAUUUAUAACGGUUGAAAAAAUUACUUAUAAAUUUAUAAUUUCCCAAAGGGCCCCCUUGACUAUUAUCAAAUAUAUUAAAAGUUACAAAACAAAAUGCAAAUAUAAUAAUAAAAUAAUAAUGUGCGGAUAAAGAAAAGUAUAAUCGUCCCAGUGAGAUUAGGUCAGCUGCUAGGGACACUGCAUUAUAUAUGCAGGGGUUGGGGUUCGAACCCCGGACACCCCACUUAUUCACCUUAAGAGGUGAAUUUCUAGCCACUAGGCUACUUGACAAAAAAAAAGUAUAAUCAACACAAUUGUUUCCAAACACACACACACAGUCAUUCUUAUAUUGUCGAUAAUAUAUUUCAAUGGUUAUAAAGUCUGGCCUGGUUAGGUCAGGUAUGCGAUGAUCAAACUGAGGUGAAUGUAUUGGGUCAAACCUUAAAAAGAUUAUAUAAAAGUCUUAUAUAUUUUAAAAGACAAAGUAAGGUUUUGUAAUUUGAAAGAUUUUAAAAGAUUUAACUCCUAAAAAUUUAUAAGAUUUGAAAUGACAAUAAACAACGAAGAUUUUUUUUGGAUAAUAAAAUGUUAUCAAGUUACUAGUCGUAUCCAGGGUUUGUGCCCUGGGCUUCCUUCUUAGAACUCUUUUCAUGUCUCUUAGAAAACAAGGAAGAACUCACAUUUCAUCAACAUUAGGAUAGUAACUUUUGUUGACAAACCAAUUGAAGGAGACUUACAAGGAUAAACAUCAGGAAGCUCCUCCACUCUUGUCUUCCAGACACCUUCUUGAUAAGGACCUGCGAUGCGUCCCAAUAAAAGUGAGUGAAACUGAAAACAACAAAGAGAAGAAGAGAAACCCACUUUUACAAUUGUGUUAAUCAGAGAUACAAUUGUGUUAUUUGAACAUCAAAAUAGAGACGUUGUAUGUGUUUCUCUUACUAUUUACACACAUUUUAAAAUUUAACACAAGCCAAAUGACACCCGUAUUCGACACCAAAAUUUGAUGUCAAAAAAUUGUUUCUCUUAAAGCUAAGCAGUCAUAGAUUGAAGUACAAUUACAAGACCAGCAGCACUCAGUAGCAGUUGUUGACUGCUGAUCCAAAUAGAUAACACCCCACAUUGAAUUCAAACAUAUACAAUCUAUAGUACUAAAGGAAGAACAUUUCAAUUGGAACAAAGAAAAAGUUGCAAUGAAGAGAGCAGCACCAUAUCAAUCAUUUUGAGACAAAAAGGGCAAAAAUUUUGUAAUAUUACAGCCAUCAAUAUCAUAUCCAACAUUAAUUACAUCAUUAUAAGCAACAUAAGGAGUAUGCCAUUAUUUGUGUAUGUCAUCAUUUUAUUUUAUACAACAAAUGUACACAGGAUAUCAUUAUUAUAAAGCAGUACUGAUCAAUACAUAUAAGCAAUACAGUGCAAACAGGUCAUUCAGCGUACUUUUUUUCCAAACGAAACAUGAAGCAAGAAAUUCUUUGAUGAGUGAUACCACAAAACUGAGAAAGGGUUAUAAAAAUGUUCAUUGAAGAGAGAAUCAGGGUAGAAUCUCAUCUUAGACUGAUAAAAGCAAGAUUUUGAAGAGUAGACCAGAUGAAGAAUGAUCCAAUAGUUGGAGGUAGAGAGGGAGAUCAGGAAAAAAAUAUGUCAAAUCAUGAAGAAAGAUUUAAAGGUAGAUGAUCUAUCUUUGGACCUAAUACAUGACAGGACUGUUGGCAUCAAGUGAUACAUAUAAACGAUCCGACUUAGUAAGAAGACUAGUUGUUGUUUUUUCUUCACCAUCUGUGAUUGCUUUUUGACAAACGAAUCAAUGUUGGUCACUUGGUUGCCAUAAAUUAUAGGCAGGUCUACAUCAUUAAAUUGAGAAAUCUAAUUUCCCAUUCCCAACCCAAAAAGAAAACAUCAAUGUUCCAGAUCCCAAUAUUAAUACAAACCCAAAAGCUCAUAGCACACAAAACUACGAUAAGUGUGUGGAUGCUACUUACAUGUGUGUUGGCAAGUGAGGACAUAAGACAUUCAUAUGCUAUUGGUUUCAGCAGGGAUCAUUCAUGGAAAAAAGUGAAUCUUCAUCUAGCAUUACUUUUGAGUAUUAUUUGUAUGGUAUUAUGUGGGAUGGGAGUUGAUGCAUUUGAUAUGGAACAUAAAUCAUUUUGCACAAUCUUGCGUCAUCAAAUCUUUAUAUUUACCAAUUGAUGAUAUCUCACCCCAAUUGGAAUUAUAUGUAAAAUGACAACUUAUGAUCAACAACAAUGAAGAUCUCAUAAUUUUAACAUAGAUUAUCUAAAUAUAUUAUAACAGCCAUUACAGUUUCAUUCUGGAGAAACUUAACAAGGAUUACUACCUUUAACUUUUUGUUCAUAUGCAGCACGAUCUCACGUCAUCAAGGAAGCAGCAUCACCAUUCAGUGGAUCUGAUGCAUUGGGGUAUAUAAGAAGCUGAGCAAGAGACACUUCACACACAUUAACAAGAUCCGAGUAAAAAUAAGAAAAAUGUAAGUUAGCAAAAAUAACAAUCAAACAAGGUUGAAUCAAAUGCAUAGCAAGUGCACUUUUAGUAAUAUUCAUUACCAACAUUAUAUGUAAGGUAAAGGUUGUUAAUAAUGCUUACCAAACAUAGGAUUCCAAGUCUGGCUAAUAACAUCUAAACAAACUGAACCAGACCUGAAUAUCAAAGAAAAAGGUUUUGAUCAGCUGUUGAGUGUAGCAAUUUAUUUGAGCAACAGCCAAUAGACCUGAAUAUCUUCCAUGCACUUUCUUCAUAAGGACUUGGAAUGAAUCUGAAUAAAAGUGAGUUAAAACCAUGUAGCACCGAUUCUUCAGAUUAAAGGCAUGUCCAUUGUCCGACACCAAGACGACACUAACACACGUGGUUAUAUUCUAUGAGGCACAGACAGUCGACAUGACAUAAUUGAAUGUAAUCACAUGUGUCAAUGUCGUGUUGGUGUUGGGCAAAGAGAAAAAAAACCACUUCAGUUCCACCUUUAAAGUCGCAGUUGUGUUAUUUGUGUUAGAAUUUCUUCUAAUAUUUUGUGGGCUGCAAUCAAUUGUUGGUUUAGGUUUUAGUAAAAAUGGACUGAUGUUGUGAUUCGUUUGAUGAUGCUUAUGCCCUAAUGAAAGUGAUUAAUAGAUAAUGGGAUUUUUGGGCACUUAAUCUGAUUUGUGUAGAAACAUAGUGUAGGCCCAAACACUAGGCCCAUGAUGGGUAGUACCUAGGGUUGCAUGGUUAUAAAUAGAGAGGCUAGGUCCCCUUUGCCAUCACUCUGACUAUUUCGCUCAUUAGUGGUUUGCCCCAUUGAAAACCCUAAGGUUGGAGCAUGUGAAAGGCAAAGGAAGACUCCUAUCUCAAAUCUCGGCGAAGUCCGGAUAAUCAUGGUUUCAUCAAGUAAGUGUGUUCUAAUUUCAUAUAAUAAAUCGAUCUAUGUCAUUUUAAUUCUUAUAAUUUGAGCAUCAUGGAUAUAUUCUAUGAAGCACAGACACUGACACACAUAGUUAUAUUCUAUAAUUGAAUGUAAUCACAUGUGUCAGUGUCGUGUCGUGUCGGUGUUGGACAACAGACAUCGUGUCGGUGUUGGACAACAGACACGCCUUCAAUUAGAAGUGUUGAUGCUAUACAGGUGAAAACAAAGAGAAGAAAAACCCACUUCAGUUCCACCUUUAAAGUCACAGUUGUGUUCUUUGAGAAUCAAAAUACAGACACUGUAUGUGACACCUUAUUUACUCACAUUUCAAAAAUAAUACAAAAACCAAAGAACACCGAAUUUGACAUCAAAAUGCAAUUCAUCUUCAUUGAGGAAAAUGGGCAAACAAUCAAUGAGCAAGAAACUUACUGUGUGUAACUUAGGUCGAUGAAAUUCAAGAAAAAACUGUUGCAUGACAUCAUUGAUCAUCUUCACCUUGUAAUCACUCAUCAUCCUGCUUCAUAACAACCCAAUUACAAAAACAUUAGAAGAUUCAGAGGAAGAAGAAAAAUCUGUUUGAAAUCAGGAAAGAAAAUAAAUACAAAGACAGCAAAAUUCCAAAAAAAAAUUCUCUUCGAAAUCAGAAACAAAAAAUGCAUGUUUCGGUGUUUGUUUAUCUUUGUACAGUAGAGUACAGUAGUGACUAGUGACUAUGUCCAAACGAGAAGGUUUUCACUUUUGGUGAUAUAUAUUUAUUUAUUUAUUUAUUUUCAUUUUUCAUCGAGUAGAUGAAUAUUUAAAGGGUUCUAUUAAACGGUGAAUCCGGACACUGAUUAAGGAAACCAACAAAAGGAAGAUUUAAAUUAAAAAGAAAUAAUUUUUAAACUUUUAAUGAGUUGAAUGUACAAAUAUCAAUAUGAUGAUAUUACAUUUGCUUUCUUAACGGGAGCUUCCGGAGCACCGGUUAACAUUACCCAUAUUUAAAAGUGUAGUGUAUGAAAUUAAAAGUUCUUGAUAUUUACCCACUACAUUACUUUAAGUUAUUGUGGGCGAGUUUCUACUUUAUUUUUUGUGGAAGUCGGGGUUUGAACCCCGAAUCUUACAUAUUUUAUGCAUUAUUUAUAUCAUUUGAGUUUUUACCCUUUAAACACAAUUAAUUAAUUCCCUAAAAAACACAAUUAAUUAGUAAAAUAACUCAUUCAAAUUGUCCUUUCAAAAAAAAAAACUCAUUCAAAUUUGCUUCAAGACAGCAAACCAUACACAACAAUAUUGUGCAUUAAACGAGUGCAUUAAAACAUGUUUAACCACAUUAAUUUAUAUGCAUUAAAUGUGUUUUUUUAUUGUCAAGAAAAAAGAUUGAAAAUGUGGCUUUUAAAUAAGACUUAUAACUUAUAAGUGUCUCAUAAGCUUAGCUCAAUUGGAAGGGACAUUGAAUAAUAAAUGAAAAAGGAGAAUUUUUAGCCACUAAAAUACUUGACAAAAAAAAUAAAUAAGACUUAUAAGUAAAGAUAUUUACUCCCUCAAAAAAAAGUAAAGAUAUUUACACCAAAAAAAAAAAAUAUGUCUAUAAAAAGUUUGAGGUAUGUGGUUCAAACUUUAAAGAAUUAGUAAAAAUUAAUCUAACAACAAAUAUAACCACUUUCUGCUCCCUUCUAUUUCAUAUUAUUAGGUUCAAAUAUAAUCACUUUCUGCUCCCUUCUAUUUUAUUUUAAUACCUUAAUACUCGCUGCUUUUUCUAUUUGUAAUGUUGUUAUUUUACUUUUUAAUAUUUUACUCUUUUAUAUUUUCUUUUGGUGCUUAGAUUUGGUUUUUCUUUAUUUAUUUUAUUUAUACUUGACAAGGAAACAAAUCGGUAGGCAAGAAGAAAUGCAUCACAUUUUCACAAAACGUUUGAAUUGAGAUCAAACUCAAAGUGGUUUUUUACUUUGGAGUGAUAAUAAUGAAAAGAAUAAUGAUAUUUGUACAACCAUUUUUGUGAUAAUUUUAAGACAAUCUUCUUAUUCACUCUUCUUAUUGGUCAACGAAAAUCAUUUAAUGCUCUUUAGAUUGGAGACUUUUUUUUUCCUUUCUCAUAUCCAAUUUCAAAUGCAAAUAUAAGAUAGCAUCUUAUAUAUGGGAUGUAGUGGCUCAGAUGGUAGAUAAAAAAAAUAUAUAUAACAUUUUAUAUAAGCAUAUUUUCUCUAACAAGCUCCACAGAUAUUUGAAUUCUCUUUAACUUACUAGAACCUAAAUAAACUGCUUUAAUGAAUUGUUUUAAUACAGUUUCAUAUUUUUUUUUAAUAGUUUGUUAUCAACAAAAAAAGAAGAAGAAUUGUUUUACUAGCAAAUAAAGAAAUUAAUAUAUAGUUUAAACAACGGCACUGCUAUAUAUUCCGAGUGGUUGGUAAAUUAUUGUCGCGAUAUUAAACAUUAUCCUUUAAAGCAUAAAAAAUAAAGUACAUUUGAUAAGAAGCAUUGGUAAACAUAACUAAUAUGUUAAUACACCUCAAUAUGACUAAUACAUGAAUCAAAUAAUUGAAUUCAAAUGAUUAACAAGCUCUCUAAAGACAUAUUGUAUGAAAACACGCACACUCCUCAUCAUCUAAAUAAAACUUGCUUAUUGGGUGUAUUGCUUAGUCACUCAUUCAUGUUAGCAUUUUUUUUUUCCAAUAAGUUUCAACACAUAUUAAAUUACAUACAUUAUACAUAUUUUUCCUUCAAAAAAAAUGCAUUAUACAUAUUUAAAUUUGUCAUUUAUUUUGAUUGAUUUAUGGUGAAAAAUAGCCAAAAAUAUUUAACGUGCAAGGUGCAAAUUAGCCAAAUUUUCUUCUUAUUUUUAAAUGCUAAUAAUUCCAAUAGUUUUCCUAAUAAAUGCAUUACUAACUAUUUAACCAUUAAAUUUAGCAUAUUUCCUCACUUUUUAUAUUUUACGAUCCAUUAAUCAAGCAAUUGCUUAUGUGUUUUUUUUUUUUUUUUUUUUUUUUUUUUGAACAAGCCAAAAUGAGAUAUAUAUUAACAACAAAAAGUCUUGCUCUCAAGCACAAGGAGUGCAUUAAGAAGCAAAACAAAGUUUACAACAAUAAAACUUGUCUGAAAUUAAAAAAGGAGAAAAAAACCUUCAGCCUAUCCCUAAACACAGAAGGGGAUGCUGCCACCAUAAAUGAUAACCAAAAGGAAAGCACACAUUUUUAGCUUUCAACCAACGAAGAGAGUACAUCUUAACCUUUUCCAAAAGCUGCAUCAUCGAGUUGGCUUUGUUCUCAAAGACUCUUUGAUUUCUUUCAUUCCAAAUUACCCAAAUGCAACAGAGCCAAAGUAGAUGUAGAAAAGAUCGACGAGGAGCAUAACCACCUGAAGAGUAAAUAAAUUGCUGAAAAUGAUCUGUAGCUUGAUAAGGAUCCACUGAGUAAACACCAAUCCAGGACUUUACAAGUUUCCAAAGAUUGCCAAAAAAAUUACAAUGAAUGAUUAAGUGAUCUAAAGUUUCUUGUUGACCACAACCUGAAACACACAACUGAUUUUCAACAGAAAUAACACCACGACGCAUUAAGUUGUCCUUUGUCGGCCAUCUAUUGCGGAUGAGACGCCAUGCGCAAAUAGAAACUUUUAACGGAACAUUUUUGUGCCAUGGUGCACUCAAAACAACAUCAUCAUCGUGUGUCACCUGCCUCAUAAGCAUAUGAUAUGCUCCACGAACCGUGAAUCCAGCUAUUAUGUCCGGUCGCCAAAGGCACACAUCUGUCUCAGAUUCCUGCAAAGUAACGUUAGACACCAAAUUCCUAAUCUCCACCACUAACUCCUCCUCCCAGGCAAACAAUCUACGUCUCCACCUCCAAGCCACCCCAUUCUCUCCCCAACCUAAUGCAUGCAUGGCCCCCACCGUCAAAUCCUUGUGAACUGAUAAAUCAAAAAGUCUCCUAAACCUCUCCAUCAACGACACAUUCCCCACCCAAACAUCGAACCAAAAAUAAGUGUUAAAACCGUUACCUAGACGAUUUAAAAUAUUAGCUUCAAACCAGCUUUCUCCCUCAACACCUAUCCCCUCUCGAAUUUUAACAAUCUCCUUCCACCACGUCGACCCCAACCUACCUCCCUCUCUAAGCCGCCCUCUCUCCUCUCCAUAACGGGACAAUAAAACUCUAAACUACAACCCGUCUCUAUCCACUAAACACCUCCAACACCAUUUAGCAAGAAGAGCAGUGUUAAACUCUUUCAAUCUCCUUACCCCCAAGCCACCAACCUCCUUACUCAUGCAAACGGAAUUCCAAUCAACCCAAGCAAUUUUCCUAUUAUCCUCACCCCCUCCCCAAAAAAAAUUAAUAAAAAUAGAUUCGAUGGAAGAGAUUAUACCUGCGGGAGCUCUGAAAAAGGAUAGGGCGUAGACAGGCAAUGAAGACAGGACGGAUUUAAGGAGAAUCAAACGGCCCCCAUACGACAAAUUUCUGCUUUUCCAAUCAGACAGCCUAGAUUUUAUACGAUGAAUAACCGGCUCCCAAAACGAUAACCGUCUAGGAUCUCCACCUAUGGGUAGGCCAAGGUAAAUGAAAGGAAUGCGGCCCACUUUGCACGAUAAAAUAGAAGCAGCCUCAUACAACCACGAAUCCUCAAUGUUUAUACCAAACAAACAACUCUUAUGAUAGUUUACCUUCAGCCCAGACAUAUUUUCAAAAAUAACCAAAACAGCCCUCAAAGCUCGGAUAUUCGCCCAAUUCUUAACACCUAUCAGAAGAGUGUCAUCAGCGAAUUGCAAGUGAGAAAGGGUAGUAGGAGUAUGCGUCCCAAUAGAGUAACCCGUAAACAGAUUCGAGUUCACCGCCGAGGUCAUCAAAACAUUCAAACCUUCUGCUGCAAGAAGAAAGAGAAAAGGGGAAAGUGGAUCACCUUGACGUAGUCCCCGUUUCAUUUGAAAUUCUUCCGUUGGACUGCCAUUCACCAACACCGACACAGUGGCUGUAGAAACACAUUCCUUCAUCCACUUCCUCCAUAAAGAAGGGAAAGACAUUCUCCCCAUAACAUCAUCUAAAUAACCCCAAUCAACUGAAUCAUACGCUUUUUCAAAAUCAACCUUAAACAAAAGCAUAUCUUUCUUCUUUUUACGAGCCUCAUCAACCGCUUCAUUUGCAAUAAGAAUGCCAUCCAAAAUCUGUCUGUCCUUCACAAAAGCUGAUUGAGUUUCAGAAACAACCUUCCACAACACUUGUCUCAAGCGAUUAGCCAACAAUUUUGCCAAAAUUUUAUAUAAGCAUCCAAUUAAAGCAAUGGGGCGAAAAUCAUUCAGUCGUUGAGGACAAUCAAUCUUAGGAAUAAGAGCAAUGAAGGAGCUGUUUAUCCCUUUUGACAAAUGACUGUUGCGGUGAAACUCUGAAAUGAACCUCAUAAUGUCAUGUUUCAAUUCAAACCAAAAAUCUUUAAUAAAACCAAGAUGAAUACCAUCCGGACCAGGACUCUUGAAGCUGUCACAGUCCCAUAAAGCCGCCUUUACCUCCGUUUCACUAAACGGAUGAAUCAAAAAAUUCCCAUCCAUUGUCGACAACCUACGAAAAUGUAAGUCAUCCACUCUUGGUCUGUCAUGAUGUAGCGCUUGGAAAUGAGUUUGAAAAUGACCAAACACUGCUGCACGAACAUUGUCAACACCCUCUAUGAUGUUACCAUCCACUGUAACGGAAGAAAUGGCAUUCCGACGAUGUCUACCAGACAUAAUCGCAUGAAAAUAUUUUGAAUUGGCAUCCCCUUCACGAAGCCAUAAUGACCGAGAUUGUUGCCAAGAAAUGCUCGCAUUAGCCCUCGAAAAAGAAUGAAGGUCAAUAGAUAAAGUAUGCAAGUCAUUUACUUCUUCCUCUGAUAAAUCAUCCACCUCACCCUUAGAAUCCAAAUCAUCUAUCUGAGUUUUUAAAGACUUGAUCUUGCUAGGUAAAUUGUGAGUAUGAGUUAGAUGCCAAUCUUUAAGAUCAACUUUUAUCCUCUUCAAUUUUUCCUUUAAAAUGUGUCCUCCCCAACCAUCUACAUGAUAAGACUGUAACUUAGAACGAACAAAAACUUGAUAACCCGGAACAUCAGCCCAGCAUUUCAACAUCCUCACCGGUUUCGGCCCCUAGUUAAGAUCAUCAACUGAUAAAACCAAAGGACAGUGAUCGGAUAAACCGCGUAAAGAAGCAAUUUGCAAGCAAUAAGGCCACUUUGCACACCACUCCUCCGAAAGCAAAAAUCUGUCUAACCGACUCAUGGAAUUGCCAUCCCCCUUGUACCAAGUAAAGCUUCUGCCAUGCAGAGGAAGAUCAACCAAAACGUUGCUAUCAAUGAAAGUAUUAAAAGGGACGCAAUCAAAGGAUUGAAUCGCAACCCCCCGUGACUUUCUUUCAUCCAUAGUGCGGACCGCGUUGAAAUCACCACAUAGACAAACAUUUUUACCCACCAACCGCUGAAGAUAUACGGAUAAAGAAUUCCAUAACAACUGUUUCGCACCAUUAUCACACGGAGCAUAAAUAUUAAAAAUAAAGAAUUCAUCAUCUGAACUAAUAAACCGACCAUGAAUUAUUAACACAUGCUCCAUGCUAACCGAAGACCACACUUCAACAACCUCAAUGUCCCAUAUAAUUAACAAACCCCCAGACGCCCCCACAGCCGGUCGGAAAGAAUAAGAAUGAGGUGAAGAACCCCAUAGAGCUACCGAUAAAAAAUCGUCUAUUACUGACAUCUUCGUUUCUUGCAAACAAACAAUGGAAGGACAUUUUUAUGUGAUUUUUAUUAAGUCAUGUUGUUUUUUCUUCUCUAAAAAAAAAGUCAUGUGAUUUUUUAAUAAGACCAUAAUCAUUUAAAUUUACUGAAUUCAUUUGAUUACGUUUUUUCAUCGUGUCUUUAUUAACCUUACUUUACUACUCCAUGCUCCCUUCUAUUUUAUUUUAAUCCCGUUUUUUUUUGUCAGCAUUUACUAUGUUAGUGCAAAUUUUACAAUAUCAUAUUUCUAAUCAAACAAUUUUUAGAGAUAUAUAAUACCAAUUAACGGAUAAUUAUUGUAUUUAUAGCAAUAUCGUUGACAAUCAAACAAUUUCAAUGUAUUUCAAAGUAAAUAAGGAUGCGAAUUUUUUCUUGCCAUUUAAAUUUGAAACAUUGACCAUUAUUUCCUUUAUUUGCACUCCCACAUGUUACAGUAGUGUUUGGUUUCAUGUUUUUUUCACGGUGCACGCUAUCCAAUGUCACUUUUACCGUGAUUUUAUGAAGCUGGAAAUUCCAACUUUUGCCUAGACGUGCUUUUUUGAGCUUUCCACCGGUAUUCCAAACACAUAUUACAUCUAUUAAAGAUCAAAAUUUGUACUUUUUUUUUUGUUGGAUACGUGUGUAACUCAUUUACCAAAGAUCAAAAGUGAGAAAUUUAAAAUAAUAUAAGUAUUCAUCUUAUCAACUCAUCAUAAGACAUUGACGUUUUUUAAUAGUUUGUUCUCCACCAAAGACAAUAAAUGAAGGAAUUUAAAAUAAAGUAAAAAUUUAAAUAAUUUUUCUAUUUAAUAUAAUUUUUUUUUAGGCAAAUGACAUUAAAAAGCUAAGAAAGCAAUUCGUCGUAAUGUUCAUAGUUCUGCGGGAGUAUACAAUGAGUUGAAUCAUCAUAUUCGACAAUUUUUCCCCUCCAAAUAAACUUCUCAAAAUACGAUUUUUCCCCUCCAAAUGCGAUUUUCUUCAUUCUUGCGCCAUUCAAAGUCAAUUUCUCCGACAAUAUCAAGUAAGUGUUGAUUAUCCUACCUCAUUGCAUUUUUUUGGCUGAAAAUUUAGAUUUCUUUGAAUAAAUUUAACAUUUUUAGGUUUUUAAAAAUUUGGCUUGCAUGUUAGUUUUUAGGACUAUUAGCGAUGAAUUAAGUUAUGAAUUGUAGUUUAGAGUGCAAUGCGGUAGUUUUAGGAUCUUGAAAUUGUUUGAUUUUAAGUUUAUUGAAAGUUGCACUGUAGGUGUUUGAUAAAAUGUCUCAAAGAUUUUUUUUUGUUUUUUGUAUUGUUAAUGAUGGAAUCUGUUAGCAAUUGAUUUGUUAUAGUUGAUUGUAGUUAGUCUGACUGCAAUGUGGUAGUUUACAGAUUGAAAUGACACUGUCUCAAUGAAUUGUUAGAAAUGUUGUUGAAUUGUCCAUAUGAAAAUGUCUCAUUUAUUUUUUGCUUUUUGAAAUGUUGUGCAGAUAUGUCUCAAAGGCCUGACAAACUUAGGUUAGAGAGGGAGUCCUCUACCGGUAGUGCACAGAGUGAAAAUGAAGCACUACACCCUCCAAUGAGUGAUCGAGGGAGAGGUUAAGGCACGAGAAUUGGAAACGUUGAUGCUGUAGGGGAUCAUCAUCACAGUGGACCCAAUACAGUAUCAGCAACAACAUCAUGAGGAGUAUCAACCUGAGUAUCUGGAGGCAUAUCAGUAUGAGCAACCACAUUAUGAGCAACCUCCUUAGCAGCAGGCUGAGGCUCAGGGGGAGCCUGAUAUGGAGUUUGAGGCGGACCGGAUGCCUUUUGAGGGGGGCCUUGUGAGUUGUCGCUUUUACCGAACUUCGGUAAACAUGUGGUAUGCAAGCUUUGGGGUGAUAAAGUAGUUAGUAUAAUUGAUUUAUUUUUAUUUUUUUUGGGUACAAAAGAGGGCAAAGCCCAAGGAAAAAGAAAACUAAGAUCCUUAUUUUUAUUUUUACUGAUUAUUUCACUAAUUUAAUAUUUAUUUUACUUAUUAUUUUUUUAACGGUGUUUGUUAGUACACGUGACAUUUUUUUUUUACUUAUCUCACUUAUUUAAUUGUUUAUGUUACAUUUUUUUUAGAGAAGUUGAAAAUAUGAAGUUUUGCGUUUUUGUUGCUAUCAUAUAACACUUUUUUUUUUUUUUAAGAAAAGAUGCUUAUAACAUUUCAUUAAUGUAACACUUAAAUCAUAUUGCAUGACUUAAGGAACGCAUGACUAAAAUUAUCAUUUAAGUUGGGAGCGAGCAAUUUCUGUUGAAUAUAGAGCAAUGAACUAGAGUGUAUUUGGACGGAGGAAUGUUUUGAAGAAAUGUAUUGUUUUGAGGAAAUUCAAAUACUUUGGGGUGAAUACCAUUGUUUGGAUAUUAAUUUGAAGCAUUUUCAAAAUGAUGGAAAUUUAUGAAGUAUUUUUGUUCAAGUUAUAGAGAAUUUCAAAUGACACCUAAAAAGCUAAGAAUUUCAAAUUUCUUCAUUGUUGUUAUUUUUCAUAUUUUGCAUUUUGAUCCUCAAAUUUUCCAAAAAAUUCAAAUUGACCCCAAUAAAUUUCCAAAAAUUGGGCCCUUAGUUUUUUCAAAAAUUAUAAUUUGACCCCUUAAUUUUUUGAAAUUUACAUUUUGACCCCUAAUUUCUGUUUUCAAAUUUGGCCAAAAAAAAUUAAAAUUUAUAAAAGUUGCCCAAAAAUAAUGACAAUGAAUUUGUUUUAUUACUCCAUCCAAACAAAAGUAUUUAGAAAUGAAAGUAAUUUAAUUGAAUCAUUUAAAUUUUCUAGAAUUCUAAAUUCUUUAAAAUUUCUCAAUUACCUCAUGGGUUGAAGCCCAAUGAAUUAGGGUUGAGUACAAAUUUGGGCUUCAACCACCUAUAUAUAUUUAGGAAGUUAGCAAAAUUUCCCAGAAAACGAAAUACAGACAAUUUUCAUUUCAUCGACGGGGAUGACUUUACUACGACUAAAUGUUGGUACUACGAUCAAGGUUCCGAUUUCAUCUCUCUCUAACUGUUCCGCAAAGCCUUUCGCUACUUUGGCUUUAGGCACUACCGCACAGAUUUUUUCAGAAAGAUCUUUUGCAAAUGCUGGUUUUCCUAUCCGUUCUUUUGUUAACAGAAAGAUCUUUUGCAGCUUGAAUGAAGAUAAUCUUUCAGGUAGGUUGCUUAUUGAGAUCUUCUUCGUCGUUAUUUAUCUAUUAACAUUGUUAAUAAUCAUUAUUGGUAUUGUUGCUUACAGUGGGUACUACUCCAUCUCAACCCUCUGGUUUCUCUUGUAACACCCCGUUUUCCCAACAUAAAAAUUUCAUAAAUUAAUCAGAGUAAAACAACUUAAACGGAAUGUUACACUUCUUUUCUUAAGAAUCACAAAUGGAAUAAUUAAAUAAUUAUCCUUCAAAUUUCAACAACGUAAUAAUUAAAACUUUGAAGCAAAAUUAAUUUAACGACAAUAAAAGCUUCAACAACAUGUUCCAAAAUUGAUACAUAAAGGAAUGAUAAACUUAACAACAAUUUCCCAUCCCGUUACGUAUCAGAGCCCUAAGACACUUGAGACACCACUCAUAAUAAUCUUUAAUACCUGCAAGUUACCCAUACGAAGGGCAACAUUUUCAAGCAAAAGGGGUGAGAUUUCACAAACAAUAAUAAUAAGCAUAUAACUCAUCAAAUGCAUCUAACAACUUAAACUCCAUCAAUUAGUAAUAAUAAUUCUUUUAACGACUCCUAAACCAUAUCAUGUACUCAUCAUAUCAACAGUCAUAACUCGAUAUCAUAAACAACAUCAUAACAGCAUCAUUUAACAUCAUAAUCAACAUCUUAAUCAUAAUCAUAUAACAUCAUACUCAUAAUUCGUAUACAACAUGACAACUUCAUAAUCAAUGACAUAAACAACGUAACAACAUCAUAUUCAUAAUUCAUAUACAACAUAACAACAUCAUUAAUUCGUAUUAACAUUCUCCACCAAGCACCUUAUUAACAACUCAUGAAUAGAGGACAACUUAGCAACUAUACGUAACAUCAUCAUUUCAUAAUAAUAAUUAUUCAUCAAACAUUCCAUUAGCAAUUCAUGAAUAAAAGACAACUUAUCAACUUAACAUAACAAUCAUCAAGUACAUUUAACAACUCAUAAAUAACAUCAACUCAUAACUUAACAUCAUGUAAUCAUCAUCACAACAUUCAUAAUCAUCAUCAUGUAACAUCAUAACAACCUCAUAUUCAACAACAUAAACAGUCAUCAUAACAUUAUAAUCAAUAUCAUAAACAACAUCAUAACAACAUAAUUCAUCAUAUCAUAAAAAUCAUUGUAUAACAACAUAAUUCAUCAUAUCAUAAACAUCAUUGUAUAACAACAUAAUUCGUCAUUCGUCAUAUCGUAAAUAUCAUUGUAUAACAACAUAAUUCAUCAUAUCAUAAACAUCUCCUCAUAAUAAUAUAGACAAACACAACAUAAUCAUCACCUCAUGGUAACAUAGUCGACACAACAUAAUCCUCAUCUUAUAAUAAUGUAAACAACAACAAAUCAUCAUAAUAAUAUUCUUAAUUCUUUAAUUUUAGUAACACUUACUAAUUCAACCAACAACGACGACAACAACAAGAUUCUACAACAACGACAACAACUCUCCCAAUAACAACAACUACUACUUAAUCAACAACAACGACAACAACUUAAUCGACAACAUAAACAACGUGAGAGUACACCACCUCUCAUAACUCAACAACGCUUACAACUUAGGCUAACAUUUACAUCUUAGUUAAGAUUUGACAGCAUCACAGGUAGCACAUAGACAUCUCAAGAUAUAACAAUAUCAAAUGAUAAUCAACACAACUUAAACAUCAUAUAUAAUUCCACAUAAUGCAUUUGCAAAUAUACCACAUCAUUAACAACAUCAAUCGUCAUUAACAACAUCAUUAAUCAUCUUAAUUUCAUCAAUAAUAGAUAUCUAAUUCAUCAAUUAAAUCUAACACCCUGUCAUAAUAAUAAUUCAUCAAUAUAUAAGUAUAUCAUCAUUAACAACAUCAACAACAAAUGGUAAUUAAAACCAAAAACAUCGACUCAUGCAACUACUCAACGACUCCACUAAGACUCCUCAACAAUGCGCAUGCAUGUGGUACCAUAUUCAGGACCGUAGCCCACACCGUUGUCGAAUGGUUAAAGCAUUCUUUUCAGGACAUAAGUCAUCACCGCUAAACACCGCUUUGAACAACUAAUGUUCCACCGCUUUGAACGACAAGGCGUUCCAGAGCCGAAGCUCUCCCACUUUUAUGAUUAUGCAACUGACUCCACUUGUGUAUAUCUACAUACAACUCGACAAUGCAUAUAUGUAUAUAUGACUUAUGACUCCACUUGUGUAUAUCUACAUACAACUCAACAACAACAACGACAACAACAAAUGUACAUAAUUAAUUAUGACAAACUCCACCUCUUAGUCAACUAUGACACAACGACUCUUAAUAGCAAGAUUCAUCAACACAUUCACAACAACAUAUAUAUUCACCCACCAUAUCAUAAUAAACAAUGUAUAUGGAUUCACCAAUAUCAUCACCCUUACAUAAUUUCACAUCAGAUAUAUGAUUUGCCCACUUUCCAAGUCAAGAGAAAAAUACAUCACCUUAAGAUAAACAUCACAUUCAACACUCAUCUAUCAAUCAAAUACUUCCAUAUAGUCAUACAAAACUAAAUAUGAAGGAUUUAUAAGGUAAUUGACUUAAAAUGAUAUUUUCAUCAAUGUUCGUCUCUCUUUAACAUUUUACAAGAAUCUUCCAUUUUCAAAACCAAAAUCAAAUAAAACUCAAGGAAACCAAUCACUAUAAUUUACAGUAAUCAUAUAAUCUCUGUACUAUCUUAAUCCUAUUCCAUUUCCUUGAAGAUCCCAUUUUUCAGAAAAGUCAACGUUUUUGAGCAAUUUUCAAAGUUAAGUUUUGAUUUCAUAAGCCAAGUCCAAAUUUCAUUCAAGGAGAUGUUACAUUAGAAUUAAGUAUGAGACUAAUGAUUAUACAAGUUAAAAGAAGUGUUUUAAGCAGUUCAGAUUGGCUAUAGGAAGCUCAGAACAAAAUUCAAAAAGUGCUGAAACUGGGCUCGUUCGCUUAGCGUUCGCUUAAGCGAACUCAAGUCAGUAGCUUCUGAGCUGUUCGCUUACCCGUUCGCUUAAGCGAACAGUCAUCAGAUAGCAACUUUCAGCGUCGCUUAAGCGACCAUUCAAAAUUUCUGCAGAAAAAUGUUACGGGUUCCACCCCCUUUUCACCCAAAACUCCCAAUUUUGAUCUCCCAAUGCCCAAACAUGUUUCCAAAGAUUGUUUAUAGGUUCAUUAUACAAUUAGGCAUCUAAAGGAACAUAAAACAGGCAUCAACAACAACAAUUCAGAUCAUUCUAGCAAUCAUACAAAACUUCUCCAAUUUAUCCAACAAAUUCUAAUCUCAUUCAAAAUUCUGAUCACAGCAACAUUAUAGAUUAAGAAAUCAUUCUAAACACUAAAACUAAACACAUUAAACAUGAUUCUUACACCAUCCCUUUCAAAUCAGCAUCAACCCUAAUUCCCAAUUUUUAUUUUCAAGAACAACUCAAUUAGAUCAAUUUUCAGAAAUUAUAUACUAUGAUUAUUGAGAGAUAGUCUCACCCUUACCUUAAUUUAGAAGAAAACACACAACGAUCGGAUUCUCUGACUCCACUUGUUCUUCUCACCAUUGUUCUUGGUUUUCUCUCCCAAAACUUGUUUUCACGUAAAACUGCUUCUGACCUUUUCUUUUUCCUAACUCUCAAAACUAUAACUCCCCCUUAUUUCAUUAAACUCCCCUUAAUUCUAUUAAUUAUUAAUUAAUUCCCCACACUCCAAAAUAACUCUAUUUCUCAUAUUAUUCUCAUUAUAUUAAAAUAAAUCAUAUAAUAAAAUAAUACACACCACAUAAAUCACAAUAUUAUUUAAAAACACAUAAAAGACUCUAAAUAAUUCUAAAAUAAAUAAAAUAACGACUAGGGCGUUACAUCUCUGACUUGUUUAAUUAAAAGUACAAGUAUAGAUGCUUAAAAAAAUUAUGCUUAUAUAUAUAUAUAUAUAUAUAUAUAUAUAUAUAUAUAUUUGUUACGUUCCAGUACACAUACCAGGUAUCGUACCCGUACCUAUGCAUCAUAGAUUUUAAAACAACUUUGGAAGCGAGCAAUUUCUGUUGGGAGCGAGCAAUUUCUGUUGAAUAUAGAGCAAUGAACUAGAGUGUAUUUGGAUGGAGAAAUGUUUUGAGGAAAUGUAUUGUUUUGAGGAAAUUCGUUGAUACCAUUAUAUUAAUAUAUAGUCGCACUCGAUAUAUAGUUGAAUUCCGCACCGAUGUUUUAAUAUAGGGUUAAAUGUACUUUCGUCCCUUGUCAUUUCGGUAAUUUCUGGUUGUAAUUUUUUGUUUGUUUACAAGAAUUAUCCUAAUGGCAUAUUUUAACCCUUUAAUAUAUAUGGCCAUGUAUUCAUCUCUUCGUUCACGGCAUCAUGUGCUAAUUUGAAAUAUUAGGUGAAGGAAGGAGUUUCCCAAAUUAUGGCUUUACUGAAGCUGAUGAGAGUGAAAUUCCUUUUGAUGAAAGGGUACUUGCCGCAUUCCAUCUAGAUUGUAAUAAGUGGGGUGUAAGUGUUAAACCAUUAGCUGGUAGCGUGAUUAAUUUUGCAGUGUACAUUUCAAUUCUUAAGCUAGGUGAUCGAAUAAUGGUAAACUAUCUUUCUUUCACUUAAAGUUUGUUUAAUUUUUCCAAUCCCAAAGUGGAAAUCCAUUACAUUGUUUUUCUAAUGUCAGUGAUUAUAUGUUACCAGUAUUUGAAUUUGACUCACAAGGGACAUUUAUCUCAUAAUUUCGCCUCGCAAUAUUUUGAAAUUAUGCCGUACCGACUUGAUGAAUCAACAGGUGUUUGUAUUUUCAUUAAAAUUGUUUUUAGAUAUAUUGGCUUAUUUGUGGAAUAACAUACUUGCUUUUGAAUUACAACAGAUCUUAUUGGGCUGGAGAAAACUGCUGCUGAAUUCCGACCAAAGCUCAUUGUUGCUAGUGUGUAUCCUCCAGACGUCAAUUAUUCUCGCAUUAGAAAAGUAUGUUUAUUUUAAUCUUCAUCAUCUGCUUCUGUAUACAAUGUGAUUUUAUUCCUUGCGAUAAACUAAUUGCAUCUUUUAUGCAAGGAAAGAUAGCAGAUGAAGUAGGUGCUUUUUUUAUGAUGGAUAUGACUCAUAUUCUUGGGUUUGUUGCCGAGUCUGUGCUUGCCGAUCCAUUUGAGUUUUGUGAUAUUGUUGCCACCGCAACCCUCAAGGUUUGCUUUGAUAUUGGGUUCAGCUUACAUUUUUUACUCAAAAUGAAAUAGAAGAAUUUGCAUUUAAAAAUUACCAAAAGCAGGUAUGUGUCAUUGUCGCUUUUCAACAUUGGUUAAAGUUGGGUGUAAACCACUUCCGACCAAUAACAUUCAUUCAUACCAUCGUGCAGGUGGUUGCUAACUGUAUAGCUCUUGCUAACCGAUUAGUUGAACAUGGAUAUAAACUGGUUUCUGGUGGUAAUGAUAAUCACAUGGUUCUUGUUGAUCUUGGGCAAUUUGUAAGCUUCUUGCUCUUUUUUUUUUUUUUUGCGUGUCUAAAAUUUUAAUUCUCUUGUCUACCCCUCCUUAAUCCUUUGUAGAAAUGGUGCAAUCCUGUGAAUUUUUCUCAAAAAUCCAUAGUGUUGUGUAUAUUACUGACAAGCGAGAUUUUGCUUAUUGAUUUUUCUCAAGAAUUUCAUUUUUAGCACCUAUAAAAUCACACUUUUUAGUCCUGUACCAUUUUUCUUUUGCAUUUUUUAUUACAGGGUCUAUUCUUCGGGGUGGGAUCAAACCUUCAUACGAUCUUGUUGUUUAGUAGCAGACCUAUUCAUGUGUUUUAGGCCGUCAUAGGAUUUGGUCUACUUAAUAGUAGACUUUUAUAGGUGUGGUUAGGCCUUAGUGUAAAAUAGGCUUUUAAAAACGUCAGGCUUGUUCUUAAAAAUUAGCCUAUGACGGAUAAUAGGUCUGACUCGGGUCUAUAAUUUUUGAAGUAGGCCAGAUCUAGGAUUUACAAAUCCCAGCCUGGCCUAGCCCAUUUCCACCUCUAAGUCUAUGCUGAUUGGAAUUUUUACAAGGACGACUACAAAUGCUGACGGAAAAUUUUACAUGGCUUAAAAAGUGGAUUUUUUUAUAGGGACCAAAAAUGAAAUUCUAGAUAUUUAUGAUCAUUUACUUAAUUAACCCUUGAUUUUAUGCUUUUUUUAGUACCUUGUAUUUCAUAUUAGUCAAUCACAUCCUUCAGGGUAUUGAUGGUGCUCUCGUGAAGAAAAUUCUCAACAUGGCUUUUAUAAACGGCAACAAGAAUUUAGUGUCUGGUGAGUGACUUGCUCCUUGUUCCAUAUCAUUUUAGUAUGUGGAGCCAUUUUUCGUUCCUACAAUGUUUUAACAAGAGAUAGAACGUAUUUAUAGGGAUGUUAUUUUGUUAAAAAAACAUUCGUAUAAAUUAGUCCAAUUUAUUAUCCCAAAUUGUCAUAUUUAAUAUCCAAAAUUAUAAUCAUUCGGAUUUUUAUUUUUUUACUUAGAAAUAGAACUUGAAACCUAUUCACAGGAACGUUGUUGUGUUAAAAAUAUUCAUUCCAAUUUGGCUAAAUUAAUAUCCCAAAUUGUCCCUGAUGAGCAUAGCUCAAGCUCAGUCAGCAAGGGAAGUUGGAAGUGAAUUUCAAACCACUAAGCUACAUGACCAAAAUCAACUAAUAGGUCCUUAAAGUGUUCUUCCACCCAUCAAUUUGGUCCUUGAGUCCACCAACUUUGAUGAUUGGGAAUAUAUAGUUUAACGUUCUUUUAGUUGAUUUUAAUUGUACCAAAUUAAGAGUGGGUAAGAAAAUCUCACUCUCAAACACCCCUUAAUUUGCACUUUUGCUUAUUCUUUUUUAUUAUCCUAACAUGUUCUAAUUUCAAAGGUGACAAGAAUGCCCUAGUUUCCAACGGCAUUUCCAUUGGGACAAAAGCAAUGACAACAAGAGGAUUUAAUGAGAAAGAAUUUGAACUAUUUGCGGACUUAAUUCAUGAGGGUGUGCUGUUAAGUUUCGAAGCAAAAAGUUUGGUCUUGGGAUCUAUGGAUCAAGAUUUUAUGAAUGUUUUCAUAUCGCCUGAAUUUUCUUUGGGAGACAAGGUUUCAGAUUUGCGUAGAAAAGUUCAAGCUCUUGCUCCUUCGUCUGGAAGCAAAAUGUUUGGUUAUGGUUUAAGAUUUUAUGAAUUUUGUGACAUCGCCUGAAUUUUCUUUGGGAGACAAGGUUUCAGAUUUGUGUAGGAAAGUUCAAGCUCUUGCUGGAGUCUAAUCCUCUUUUUCUUGAAAAUUUUCAUGACGCUGAUUACAUGUUUUAUUUGUGUUGCUGUUUGUUUAAACAUAAAUGUUAUUGUUACAACCUAUUGUGUUGCUGUUUGUUUUAUUGGAGUCUAAUCUCUCUCUCUCUCUCCAAAUUCUCUUGGAUACCUUGGAGUUGCACUUUGGCAAUUUCUGACCUGUCUUCUUCAUGGUCAAGUUGAUAAUGUUCAUUUUAUUUUUUGAAAUGACUAUUUGACUGCGAGUAGAUUGAGUCAGGAAUUCCCUAGUGCAUUCUAUUAAAAUAAUUUCUGAAGAUUUUAAUUUUGUUGGCUUAUUUACAGAUUUUGUAUCCAUAUUCUGUUCUAUCUAGGGUUCCUCUUUCAAGACCAGAAUCUAUACAAACUUUUUCUUUUUCAGCUUGUUGGUGGGUUAUGUUAUUGAGGUUCUAUUUUCUUUUCCACAAUAUUAUGGUAGUACAACAAUCUUCCAUACAUGUUAAAACUUUGUUAUGUAAUUGAGUGAUGAUUAGUUGAUCAUAUAUAAUGAUCAUAUAUAUAUACAUGUUUUUUGAUUCAUUUAACGGUUGCAUACUUGAACAUCCUAAAUCAGAAGAAGACAGACAAUGGAGUGAAAGUUAGAGAAUGAAUGUUGAGCUGUAUAAUAUUAAUUAUUAAAGACUUUCAAAUUGUGCCUCUGAAGAAGAAUGCACUGAAUACCUUGCAAAAUAUGUCUACUCAAUACAAAGUUGACUCACAAAGACAACCGAAGAAUACUAUCUAUGCCUUAUAGUAUUUGAAUUUUAAAUUUAUGAAAGUUGUUUGUCAAACCGUUCAUGUAUCCAAAAUUGUUGGCAGUUUCGGUAAUGGUUUUCUUAACAUCAGCUAAGAUAUAUCGUGUAGAUUGAUUGAAUUAGGGGUUCAAUUUCCUUGGCACAAGAGUGAGUGUUCAUUAGUUGAUCUGUUUAAAUUUUGUUCAAAGUUGGUUAAAAAAUAUCUGUGGCAAAGUUUUGAAAAUUUUAUUAAUCUUCACUUUAUAUUUUAAAAAUAAAAAAAAAAAAAUCAUUUCAUUACUCGGGUGUUUGAUACUUGGCAUUUUUUAUUUACAGCAGAAAAAACCUCAUUAAAAGCAAACAAAAUUCACCAUUUUCAGACCUACGUUUGGUGCCUUUGAUAAGAGGUCAGAUAUGAACAAGAUAUGAUUCGGAAAAAGUAGCAGCGAGUAUCUUCACAGUUUUCCUUUAAUCCGGCGGUGGUCACUCUAGUGGAAAUCAUUUCUCAUGGCCACUGAGAUAAAAACCAGUGAUUAGUGACGAGUAAAAAUGCAGCGAAUGACUUGAUUUGGACAAGGAAAAACUGAUGGUAGUUGGCAUAGGGAAGGAAUCCAUGUUGGAUGUUGGAGGUGGAAGGUGAGAGGCAGUGGGGGUGAAGAGUGGUGAAGGAAAUGGAGGAAAUCCCAAAAGAUAGGGAAAGGAUAUCUCCACCACAGUUUGCAAAGUUGAGCCCCAUGAUAACAAGCUAAUAUUUGCUCUCUGAAGGCUUCAACAUAGUUGAUCUCUAGUAGAAGAAUGUUCAUGAAAAGCAAUAAAAAAUAAAAACUAUUCCAAAGUCAAAGACCUGCCACAAAUAAACUAUUUAAUUUUAACUUACAAAUGUCUAAAUAAAACCAUACACUUCAAAGCGCUCCGACUAAACGGCUAGGGUUACAGCACAAAUGUAGUCGAAAAGUGAAAACAAAGUUUUACAGCAUAAACAGAAUCACGUAAGACAAUUAAUUGCAGCUUCUCCAAUUUCUUCCUCAAAUGGCGGCUUAUCAGACUGUUUUGUCUACUUAAAAUCAAAGCAUUACUUGUUCUCUGAGCACUCCUUGAAUUCAAUUGAUGGACGCUUGAUAGCUUUCCUCCCGAAACCAUCACCAAAAGAUUCAAAUUCGAUUUCGUCAUCAUCACUGUCAACAGUCUCCGAAGUCACUCGAUUCUGAUAACUUCUUAGUUGAAUAAGAUAUACAUUGAAGUAAUAACUCACCAUGUCUUUUCUUGUCCUCUUUUGAAAGUAACUGGAUGGAUUGUUCCAAAAAGACUUGUUUUGGGAGGGGAUUUUUAGACUCAUUAUAUCCUUAAAUCUCUUUUCUUCAUCACCUGUCCAUUGAAGUGAAACUUCCUCACCCAUUUUAUCAAAUCCCCAAUGGUAAAAUGCAGAACCAAAAUCAAACUUCAGCUUCAUCCUGUUUGAAGCAAAAUGAAAUCUUACACAGUCAACUGAACCUUGAACAUUGCAGCUACACUUUCCUUGUCUUCCUCUACCAAUAAGAUCUGUUUCUGUGGUAGGUCUUGAAUCAUCUUUAACAGGCCAUACUUGUGUGCCUAAAGAUUUAGAGUCACUCCCAUAAACUAUACCAGUCCAUUGUGGGACUUCCACUUGGAAAAGAGGACCAACAGAAACAUCACGAGAAUCAUCACUAAAUGGGUC
rnacentral:lncRNA from 1 species